GUUGGGAUCUCCACAAUCUGGGGAGUCCCUUACAUAAUUAAGCAUUCUGUAAGUGAAAGAAACUCAAAUUAAUCAGUAAACACUAAUUUUCUAUGAACUUUUUAACAUUUUUUAUCAUUAUUAAUACAGCUGCUUUUGUUUCAUUUACACUAAAUAAAUAUGCUCUUUUCUCUAGAUUAUAUUAUAUAUAUUAAAAAAUUGAAUGGAAUAUAGAUACAUAAAAACAUUAAUAUAAAUAUCUCAGGCUGGCCAUGGGCCUCCACAGACCUCAAGGUGGUGUGUCACACCAACACUUUUUCCGUCAACUUUUUCCAUCGUUUUUCUGAAAAUCGUGGAUAUCUUGGCUGCGGCCUGUCGCACACAAAUGGUGUUUCAUCUGAAACUUUCCGUUGGCACAGCCCAAGGAGUGCAAACAAACAUGGAGUCCACACUGCAGCAAAGAUACGCUAUUCUGAAACUAAUACUGUGUACUGUGAGACACAGUAUUGGAGGGCACAGGUGACUGUGUUGUGAGCCGCUCUUUUCUGGCCUUUCUUCAUACAAGAUUCAUCCUUGUGGUCCCAGAGGCACUUAUGGCUCCUUAUGCUUUCCACAAGGAUCUCCUCUGAACGGCGUGUCCAACUUGGAUGUGGUUUUCCUUCCAUGACGAAGCGUAGAGGUGGUAAUAACGCUCUGUGAGACAGGUUGAAGCCACGCGGAAAGUCUUGGUCUUGGUCUUGGAAAUAUAAACAAAGGCGGAAAUUUGCAGGAGGAAACAAUCCUGAUCGUCUGACAAAUUCAUGCGAUAAGUUCAUGUGGAACGAUGAAAAAUCGACGGAAAAAGUGAUAGUAUGACACCACCUUAAAUCCACCCCUGGAUUUGUGAGUUAAUUUUUUUUCUUUUUUCUUCUUACUUGAGGGGCAUUGGCUUUGGGAGGGAAAAAAAAAGAAAAGACCCACUUAGGUGCCAUUCCCUUAAGACCAAAAGGAUCAUCCAAAAUUGGAGAGUAAGUGCCUUGAAACUUUCCUCUUGAAAGAGUUCUAGUCAUAAGAAGGAGGAAAUAUAGAAGUAGGCAGAGUGUUCCAGAGUCUACCAAAAACUGACUGACUGUUAGGCUAGACUGUGUAAAAUACUGAUGUGACUACCUUCCUCUUUUUCUGUUUUUGCUGCUUCUCUGGAGUGAGGGGCUGGCACCAUGCACAAGUCUUCUUUGGUUGUGUCUGUCCCUUGCAUCUUCUGUGACUCCCAUCCUUAGCAGCUCUAGCACAAUUCCAUCCUUCCAUCUCACUCACUCUUUACCUUGAUCUUCCUUCAACUGGCUUUCUCCAGGCCCUUUUAAUUAGUCCUUUAUCAAGAUUGCCUCCAAUAACCACCUAGGAUGUGAACAAUCUCAUAUCACCACAUCAGUCUGGCUAGAUUAUAACGUGCCUUCUCUUCUUCCCUGGGAGCAGCAAACCUGUGUGGGCUCCCAGACAGGUGAGUGCCGUGUGCUGAGAAAGGCAUGGCAGAAAGUGGAAAGUGGUGCUGAGGUCCCCAGAUAACUUAGUGAACUCCUACACUGAGGGACUGGAGAAGGUCUUGAAUGACUCCUCCAGAAUCAAGGAACUGCCAGUCCAAUACAUCACAGGAGGCAAUGCUAUUGGGCUGCAAAAAAAAAUUCACCUUUAGGAAGUUAUUUGACCACAGCCUUCAGAAGAUGCAAGAGUCAAGCCUGAUGAACAAGGUGAGGACCAAUUGGCUAUCAGCAGGAACUUCAACGUGUGGCAGGAAGACUAAAUUCACAGCCAGCCUCUCUGAUGUGGCUGCAAUCUUCAUCCUCUUGAUGGGUGGUGCAGCAUUUAGCUGUCUGCUGCUGCUGCUGCUGCUGGAGCAUGCAGUGGGUAGUGAUGCAUGUGUAAAACCAUGGCCCAUAUUCUGAAGUGCUCUGCUCUCUCACUAUGAUCAUUUUCAGAGUCCACAUAGAUGAUUAGCUGGGUUCUCAAGAAAGAUUUCUCCUGUUGAUAAAUUUGAAAUCUUGUUAAUUUGGCAUUAGACCUGCAUAAGCACCUCAACACCCAUGUAACUUCAUCCGGAGCCUUUUAAAAGCAGUGGAAGUGAGGUUUAGUAGUGUUUCAGAACAUUACCCAACAUACCUAAAACUCAAAAGCAUAUGAACCGAGUGACAAUCUCACACAAGGAGGCCAAGGCAAAGUGCAUAACAUAACUUAAGAAUUGAAAGUCUCAUAUAUCCUGCCAUGUACAUAAGAGUAUAAUGGAAGCUGCAAGACUACACUAGGCAGGCAGUCCCUCUAUAAAGCAUAUUUACCACACUUACAGAUACAUGCAAGACAAAAGGUGGCAAAUAAAAGCAAAUAUCUUAACAACGAGGAUAAGCGUGACUGCUGUUCUGAAUGCCGCCGACACCGCUGCCUCCCUGCCGUCAUCACCAUACCACCACUGUCAUCACCAUCAACACACCCUCCAUCACCAUUAUCACCAACACCACCACCGCUAUCAGCACCUGAACCAACACUCGACGAGCAACACUUGAUAAACAUGAGCAAAUUCUGCAACUAUUAAUAUGCCGACAAGAGUACAUAAGGUAGAUGUUUCUCGGCGUGUGACCGGAAAAAAAUCAUCCGUCUGUCCGUUCAUUUUUUUUUUUUUUCGCUACCCCGUGUUGUAGUCAAAGUGUUAAUUCACUUAGGUACUGCGACACUGCAACAAAGCACAUGUGAUUCAGAAAUGUGUUAAUUUAUUUUGCUACGGUAAGUUACCAUCACCUUCAUAAUCAAGAAAUAUAGAUGCUAAAAGUAUUUUAUGGUACCAAUUUCAAUAGGGAAGAUUUUAUUCUGUCACACGCUAUUUCCUAAAACGUUGUACCUCUCGUUUUGAAGGCAUAAAAAAACAAACUCUUGUUUCGCUACCACCAACUUCAAGCCCAUGAAAUAUAGAUGCUAAAAAUAUCUUGCUGGACUAUUUUUAAUUACGAAGACUAUAUUUUCACGGACAGGUGUCUGAAAUGUUGGCCGUCUCGUUUUGAAGGCAUAAGAACCAAACUAGUGUAACCUUGCCGCCAGCCAACUUCUCAUUUGUCAUCAUUAUCUUUUUCGUCUCCCUUCCCAUCCUCAAUUUCUAAGUCAUUAUCGUCCAUGACAGCUGUGGCUUUCUGUCUAUAUAUCACUCGCUAUUCUCUCUUACUUUGCUUGUAGAGGAAACCGUCUAUCAUAUUCCGUAAUGUUACUUUGCAUUGAAAUACACUCCCUGGGUAAUCUGCCGUAAA